ensembl:lncRNA
CGAUGGUUAUCAACUCGUUAAAUCAACCCAGGUUUUCCCCAAUCCAGCAACGAGCAUGUACAAGGGGCGGUGUUGGCACCACGUGACCAUUCGCAAACAUGGUGCGGACUGCACACCCCUUUGAAGAAGCACGGGAUUGGCUGGUGGUUGGCCGUUCCACCACAGCUCUGCCCCUUGGUGUUCUGGGGGGCGUGUCGGUGUGCAGCGGAGUGGUGGUGUCAGGGGUGGAGUUGCACUCCGUGGCGUUGGAGAGCAGGAGGGGGUACGAGCGGUUCUCCAUCCGGCGGAGGCGCGUGUCCAGGCCACGGCGCAGAGCUCCCACCUCCCUCUGCAGCACCUCCAGGCCCUCGCCCUGCACCUCCAGCAGCUCCUGCUUCCACCAACUCCGCGACGGACACGGAGCACCCGUGGUGCUCAAGGCUGCUGGGGGAUUGACUCCGGCGGUCCUGCUGUUUGCUCCAGCUACAGGCUCCCCAGAGAGUACAGUUCAUGAAGCUGCUUCCCUGCUAAUUCAUUCUUGGUCUAUCUGUCAGGCUUGCAAGGACUAUGCUAUGAACUCUGAAAAAUGGAGAGGCCAUUUUACACGUCCAUUCACUAUCAAAGUCUCAGCACUGAGUAGAUGUCCUGAGAGACGAACAUGAAACAGUCGUUCACCUGUGUGUGUAUUCACCUGUGUGUGUAUUCUCUGGGCUUUCACCUGGAUGUGGCCAUGGCUCUGUGCUCCCUUCGUUGACCACCUUCAUCUUGCUGCGCCUCCUCAAAUCAUUGAAGCGUUUCUGGCAGCCGUAGGCAGUCCUGGCAGGGCCGAGGCGCUCGCGGUUGAGUGCUGCCGCCGCCACCACCUCCUUCCACGCUCGCCGAAUCUCAGCAGACAGCAGCCAUUUGCCGAAGAGCCUGUGGUCACGGGCCUGGACCUCGCGCACCAGGACGCCCAACUCGUCCCGCUUGAAGAGCUCUUGCCCGAACGCGGUCCAUCAUCUGGGACUCCUGAAGCACACUGGGAUGGUUAGCACACUGACGGCUUUCAAAGCGAAUGCUAUUGGCUAAGCCUGAGAUCCCCUCCACCUCUUACCUUUUACUU